UACAGAGGUCCCAAGCGUUGUUCGGAUUCACUGGGCGUAAAGGGUGCGUAGGUGGCGAGGAAAGUCGGAUGUGAAAUCUCCAAGCUUAACUUGGAAAUGGCAUUGGAAACUACCUUGCUUGAGGUUUGGAGGGGGGACUGGAAUACUUGGUGUAGCAGUGAAAUGCGUAGAUAUCAAGUGGGACACCAGUGGCGAAGGCGAGUCCCUGGACAACACCUGACACUGAGGCACGAAGGCCAGGGGAGCAAACGGG
rnacentral:rRNA from 1 species